CCCGCUGAACUUAAGCAUAUCAGUAAGCGGAGGAAAAGAAACUAACAAGGAUUCCCUUAGUAACGGCGAGUGAACUGGGAAGAGCUCAAAUUUUAAAUCUGGGGUCUUUGGCCUCCGAAUUGUAAUUGAAAGGAGUCUCUUUUGCAAGCCACCUCGGCUUAAGUCCUUUGGAAAAAGGCAUCAUAGAGGGUGAUAAUCCCGUCUAGGCUGAGGAUUGGGGAGCAGUAUAAAGAGGCUUCAAAGAGUCGGUUUGUUUGGGAAUGCAGACCAAAAUGGGUGGUACAUUUCAUCUAAAGCUAAAUAUCGGUAGGAGACCGAUAGCGAACAAGUACCGUGAGGGAAAGAUGAAAAGAACUUUGAAAAGAGAGUUAAAUAGUGCGUGAAAUUGUUAAAAGGGAAACGAUUGAGACCAGUGUUGUGUCGUUCCAGUUCAGUGUUCACUUGUGAGCAUGCAUUCUGGGACGCACAGGUCGACUCUUGUUUAUUUCUGUCGGAUAAGACAGUGGGAAAGGUGGCCUUACCCUUACGGGUUUGCGCUUUAUAGACCCACUGGGAUACGAUGAGAUGGACAAGUCAAGUAGGUACUCGUACCAAGUCGACGAAAUGGUCUUAACCGACCCGUCUUGAAACACGG
rnacentral:rRNA from 1 species